UACGUAGGGUGCUAGCGUUGCUCGGAAUCACUGGGCGUAAAGGGUGCGUAGGCGGGUCUUUAAGUCAGGGGUGAAAUCCUGGAGCUCAACUCCAGAACUGCCUUUGAUACUGAAGAUCUUGAGUUCGGGAGAGGUGAGUGGAACUGCGAGUGUAGAGGUGAAAUUCGUAGAUAUUCGCAAGAACACCAGUGGCGAAGGCGGCUCACUGGCCCGAUACUGACGCUGAGGCACGAAAGCGUGGGGAGCAAACAGG
rnacentral:rRNA from 1 species